GUCGAAGUGUGCGGAGCAGGCGAAGGACCCGGAGGAUGCCUAAGAUCCGAUUACCACCUGCUGAAGCGAUGGACACCAGGAUGUCCACGAGCGACACAAACACCAGGAGCCCGUCCAAGACAUUCCAGCUGCUCUGCAGAUGAUCCCGCACUGCUUCGAUAAUAUUGAGGUCCGUGCUCUGGGGAGGCCAAUCCACUGUGCGUUUUUCUAUCCAGGUACCAUGCUGUGUGGCUGUAUGUCAGGUCGCUCCAGGGCGAUGGUGAUGCAAUUAAGGAAGAUGAAAAGCAGGACGAUGUGAUCAAACAUCUUGUGACCUAUGACCCUCUGACACCACAACCUGAACCU